UCUGCGGGAAUAAAACAGAAAUUGUAUUGGUUUAAUUUUUCAUAUCAAAUUUAUCAUUAUUUUAAUUAUCUGCAAAAGUGUCAUUGCUUUGGUUGGGGACAUUAUUAAAAAUUCGUCUGAAAUUAGUUAUCAUUCGUCGUGUUAAAGAGAUAAGUUUUUUUUUUUACGUUGAGUUGCUUUAAUUGCAAUUCAACUGAGUCGAGUUGUAAGCCGUAUGCGUGGUAUACAUUGCUAAUGCUUUCUCCAUAUUACACAUACAACACAUACACAUACAUCCAUAGAUCGAGUGCUUAGACUUCAGCUGUCACCAAUUACAAGCUUAUUAUUGAUUCAAAUUUUGUUAAAGCAAAUUUGUUAAUAAACUUUUGACGUUGACUGUGUUUAUCUCGUCAUGUAUUCGAAUCAAUGAUGCAUACAUGCAAACUAUUUAUUAAUGACGACUUCGUUUUAGCGCACUAAGUGCACAUAACAUAUGCAUAUUAUAUGUAUGUAUGUAUAUGCAUAAAUUUAUAUUUAUAUGCAUUCGAUUAACAAAGCUACUUGAGGAACUGGUGUUUAUUUUGUGUUGAUAUCGAACUCGUAAUGCAUUGACAUUGCGAAUUCAAUGUCAAAACAAAAAUAGCUUACUCAUAGAAACCAAAGAAAGUUCCCACAUUAUGCACACGGAAGUGAUCAUGAAUUAAGGUACACUGUCAGAGAUUUUGUAAAUACGAAAUUUUAGUCGCGUUCACGAUGUGAUGUAUUUGACAUCAUAUUUUGUAUACAAGAGAUUUUCCAUAUUUUUUUGUAAAACUACGAAACUUAAUUAUUUGAGAUAAAAUAAACUAGGGAUACGCAAAACAUAUUGUACUGUUGCGUAAUAUUUGUUUUACACCAUCACCGCACAUUUCUAAUCUAUCUUUCUCAUUAUUGAAAAUUAAAAAUUGUCACUAUAAUCGCUCACAAUUUAGAGCGUUUGUAAGAAAAAUUUAUCACAAUACAAUGUACAUACAUAUGUAUACUAGGUGGGAGAAGAUAUGGACAGAUUUCAUCAAUUCUUAUCACCAAAACAUAUUAUGUCCAAAGCAACUUGUACAGUUAUUCGACAAAUAACAAAGCGCGCUCGGGCACUUCAUAGCGCUCGGGAACAGAUGAAUCUCCAAG